rnacentral:rRNA from 1 species
GAUGAACGCUGACAGAAUGCUUAACACAUGCAAGUCGAUGGGGAAGUGGUGCUUGCACCAUGGUAACCAUGGCGGACGGGUGAGUAACGCGUAAGGAACUUACCUGCGGGACCGGGAUAACAGCAGGAAACUGCUGACAAGACCGGAUAAGGUCAUUAAGCUGCAUAGCUUAGUGAUGAAAGGAGACGCCUGCGGAGAGCCUUGCGUCCUAUUAGCUAGUUGGAGGGGUAACGGCCCACCAAGGCGAAGAUAGGUAGCCGGCCUGAGAGGGUGGACGGCCACAAGGGGACUGAGAUACGGCCCUUACUCCUACGGGAGGCAGCAGUGGGGAAUAUUGGACAAUGGGGGCAACCCUGAUCCAGCAAUGCUGUGUGCACGAAGACGGUUUUCGGAUUGUAAAGUGCUUUCAGCAGGGAAGAAGGAAGUGACGGUACCUGCAGAAGAAGCGACGGCUAAAUACGU